UCGGCUCUGGGAAUGAAAAGAGGC
rnacentral:miRNA from 1 species